CACAAGGGUGCAUGCGAGCACUUUGUAAUCAGAGCUUCGGUGAACUGUGGACGACUACCGUUUCUCUGCUGUUGCUAUGUAGCUCGUUUGUUCGAAUGUCUGUCGAGGGAUUAUGUUUCAAGUGUACUAUCCUUCAAAGGAAUUAGGGCGCAUCACUGUUUCUUUGGAGCAGGUGAAGAAUAUUUCGAAAGACUGUGUUUAGUUGGAGAUUUCUAUUUUUUGCUGUGAGGUACUGUUAUGGGUUCUGCUUAGAGUCCAUGCCCAGGCUGAGGCUUCUGAUGGGCAUCUUAGAUUAAGUGAUUCGAGUAGGAGCCUGAUAUAUGCUUCUCGUAAUAUGUAUGUAGUGGUUCUUUAAAUAGCAUCACCAUGUAUUAACGCCGAUAACACAACUAUGCGUGACUAUACCCUGUAUUCAUAAAGUCGCUCCAAAUUUGAAAGAGUUUGGUGUGAAUCAAUUAAAAUUUAUUGAGUUUUCUCUUGGUAACGUUUGGUUGGCACUACUAUAUAUUCAGAUGUUGUAUCGAGUAGUGCCAUGUUACAACCGAAUUUUCAUUUUCUUCUUUGUGGAUGCUUCUGUAAUAGAAUCCGAGACUGAAAUUACCUUGAAAUAGAUAGUUUGAACUCACUACUUUGCUACUUCGGGAUGGAGAUACUCUUGUAUCUCCAGCAAUACACGCUUGUUUUCAUAUUUGUCCAACUUGAUUCCUCGACCCAUGCCGAUUACAGGAAGCUUGUUGAAUCACUCCAUCUAAACAGCCAAGGAAGCAACGAUUUCCAUCCGAUGAAAUUUUGUUCAAUGCGAUGGCAUUGGUUCCACGAUGUGUUCAUUUUCCCAUCACAACAUAACAAACCACUCGGAUAGGUUAAUGUUGCAAUGCACAAUAUAGCCCGCAAAUCUCAUCAGAAGGUAUGUUUACCUGCAUGUCUUGACAGCUGUUGCCCCACAAGUAGGGAUGCAGAUAAACUGGCAACCUUUGCAAUGCGCAGUUUAAAUGGAGGUGAAUGCAAUCAUGCUUAUAGAGAGCAUGGUUGUCUACAAAAGCUGGUGGGAAAGGACGUGUUGAUUUCUUUCGGUGUUAGCAUUAAUCAUGAAGAUAAUUCGAAUUUCCUGUUUGACUCUUCGAAACGUUAUUCAACUGCCUAAAUAAUUUGGAAAGGCUUAGUCGACUGAGUACGUGUUCUGUCUAUUUUUGGUUUCUUAAACCUGAAUCGCACACCGCUAACUGCUUUUACGGAGUUGUUUGUCUUGUUUCCGAUCAGUGAAGGGAAUACCUGAUGUGUAUCAUUUUUAUUUCAUCAAGCAGUCGAUCAAUGUCCCUAUGUUCUUUGCUACCAAGCAUCACCAGUUUUGAAAUGGUCUGAGAGCCUAAUAUUUUCAUACGUAGCUGUAUUGGUUGGUGUGUGGCACAAGACAUAGAGAUUAAGAAUGAGAUGGGAUUUGAGUGUGCAGGGAAUGGUUUACUUAAUUUCAAGGCCAAGAAAACUUGACGAGGAGAUCGACAAAUUUAGACCAAAGCCUGGAGUGCGAGUAUCCAGAUCUAUGUGAUCGCGACAGGCAUUAGUCAUGUCAAUCGCGAUCUCUCCAAGUCCUCCAAACAAUCGGCCACGCUAGCUGAAGCAAGAUUUGGCAAAUGCAGUCGAUCCCACUACAUCGUUGGUCUGUAGCAUCGUCAUAAUUUGGAGUAUUGAUAAAGAAUUGAUGAUUAAUUCAGGAUUACAAUUCUUGAUGUCCAUAUCCUGUUACCUUGAUUAGUGACGAUGUGUGACAUGUAACUGUCCAGUAGCAGGUAAGUUUGGUCCCCCAUCAUGUCACUUACCGACGACGACUAUGACAACAACAAGAAAACCUUCUCACGAAGGCUAGAUCAAUUUCUGGUAACAAACUUUUGUUUCAGAAUUCAUUCAAUUCACAGACGUUUUCUAUUCUGAAAGGGCUGAGGGUGACUGCAAGAACUUCAAUGGUCCAACAUCUAAUGUAUCUGUGUUUAUGAGGGAGUAGUCGGUUUAUGAUGGAAACUAGGUAGUCCGCGACGAAAUUUGUUUCUUUCGCAGUUCUAUGCAAUGAAUGCAAGAAAUGUAGGUUGAUUUAUCCUAGGAACAGUGUAACGCGAUGAAUAAUUCAAGGAUUCAGCGUCCAUGGGUUUGCGAGGAGACAUAGACGUGGAGGAAGCAUGCUCCAUGCGGAGAUCCUUCUGUCUCAGAGAGUGUACCUUGAAUACUGUGGACUGAAGGUAUUACAGGACAUCGUGUGACGGAACUCUCGGCUCCAUGAAUGAUGUUCAAGGGUUCUUGCGUAAGAUCGAGAGACACAAAAGGUUGACAAGACAGGUGGAUUAACCUUUAUGAAAAAACCAACAAAGAAUCUCGGUGUCGAGGAUUCAUGUGAGAUGGAAGAUGGUUCAAGUCAAAAACUAUUUGAGCCAGCCGACCAUCUGAGAAAUACGGCCACUUGGACUUGAUCAUUACAUUUUACUAGAUACAGAAGGAAGCAGAGCUUGACAGUAAACCUGCAUAAUGCCAGCUCAACUCGAAAGGCCUGCAGAACUUGUGGCAGAGGAGGACGAUUGCAACCUGCACAGUGAAGGGGAAAAGUGACAAAUGGCACUUCGAUUUCUUUGUGUAGAGUUUCCAGCUUGCAGUUGGGACUGCGAGCUUAUCACACCAGUCUGGCACCCUGAGCAUCUGCAGAUUCCAGGAUCUCACAGAGAAGAGGAAAAUGAGCUGUUAGAAAGCUUUCACAGGUUGAAUGCUCAACAAAUACACAACAGACAGACAGACAGACCCUUUCCUGGCAGACACAUGGAAGACAUUUUUCAGCAUUGGAAAGCAUUACAGGGUGCAGUAUUGCAUUGUUUGGAUGCAGCUUAUGUAGGUUGAUCUGCAUUGUGAAGUUAUGGCAGGUCUCUGUAAGCCACCAACCACAGCAAGAGAGAGGUAUGGAUAGUAUGUCAAUGGUGGUGACCCAGAGGGAUACCACCCCCACAGACUCCCAUAUUGCUUGGGUUUAGGAGCACCAACAAUAAUAUGGCAUCUGUGGGGUGAAAAAAGUAAGUGUUAGUUGGAUGGGAAACUAACAAUAAGAUUUUCUAACAUACUUGUAGAAUCUGUAUUUUUAUUUUUAUUUUUUGUUUCUUAUUUUCAAAUUACAGGAAAAUAAUUGUUAAUUUCUUGAUGAUACAAAUCAAUUACAAAUCUAAUCAAAUCAUAAAAGCAAAUUGUUACAAAAAGUUAUAAAUAUGAAGGAAAAGAAAUGUGUGGGUUCUUCACAGAAUUUAAAAAUUUGUAACAUUAUACACUCUUGAUUACUAUCUGUUGAAUUACUUCUUCAAUAGAUGAUUUUAUAAGAAGUUUUCAAAAUUACACAACAGAAGAAAUCUAUAGUUAUCAAAAGUGGAAUGAGGGUAGAUACA